CAUGUAUGUGUUUUUUCGAUUUAGAAAUAUUGAUUCAUCCCAAUACUUUUAGGAAAACAUUACGAUUUAUUUUUCAUACAUUUUGUCACCGUUUAGUUCAUUUUUUGUCAUUGUUUGAUCACUGUGUCGUUCGUUGCAGGUUCAAGCUGUGUUUUUUCAUUUAAUCAUGAUUCAUUAAUUUCUUGUGUGCUUUUUAACACCAGCUGAUCCAACGAACAAGUUCCCACAUUUUUUGCUGCUUUCUCUGUUUUUAAGCGUUUUCAGUGUUAAUAAUUCUACGGUCUGUUCGAGUUUGCCUACAAGGAAACUGAAGCCACGAAAUAAUGAAAUGGAAUGCAGAAUAUACAGAAAAUCAGCAGGUCUUGGUGAAUUUACAAUGGGAAAAGAAUAUAGUUUUUACAAAAAAAUGCUUUUCUCUGAAAAUAAGGAUUUUUCCGAGUCAAGAAACUAAUCUAGCACUAAGGAUACUCUUCCGGUGUCUUGUUCAAUGUAAGAUUGAACAAAAGUUAAUCAAACCUAGAUAACAAUGACUUCAGGUAUGCUAAUAAUAAAGUUGCUACUUGUGAAUUUGCAGGCAAAGUGUGACUUUUAAUAACUGAAUCAGCGUGAUUAUUAAAUUGUUACAUUUUCCCAUUUGAAUGGUUCGCUGGCAGUUGGAACGACACGGUGCGCCAAUAAAUCUAGCUCGCAUAGCAGUACUUUGAAAGAUAACAAUGCAAAACGCUAACGCAAGCAACGCUGAAUAAAUACAAAUAUCGCAAAAAAGCGAAACUGUCGUUAAACAACUGUCGAUUAGUUGUCUCAACCUCAGAAUGAGUCAGGUCAACAUCACUUGCAGGCGCCCGAGACCAGUUUUGCAAGUCUGCACUCUUUUGCACGGCUUUUAUUCUUGGUAGUACUUUUAAAAUGCCGUUUUUUUCGUCCACUUUUGCUUUAUGGAAUUUCAUUCAAUCGAAGUCACAGCCACCAAUAAUAUUCGCGAUAUGUGGAAGUCACCGUUUUGUGAAUCACUGCCAUCAGUUUCGGGUUUUACCGUAUCAUCACUAUUUGUUGUUGAUUUUUUUAUUCACUUUCCCAGUAUCCAUUGCUUCAUCCUGUGGGCGGUUAAAUUCAGCUUUUUCACCAUUAUUUGGCUGUUCAUUUUCACUUCCGACGUUGUACAAUGGAUACGAAGACAAUGAAGAAUCCAGCAGUGCGAAGAUUAUUUGUGGCAUCACCAAUUGCUCAAUUUAUAGAAGAACAUGGCCUUAACACUUCAAUUACUAUGUCCAUUUGUCCAUUAUCCAUCGACGUAAGGAGGACACUCGACGAAUUUCAAGCAGGUUCUUCCCACAUAUUUGAGACUAAAUGUAUGCCCAAAUGUGCACAAGGAAGUUGGAAGUUAGUUCGUAAAGUAGACAAUUUUUUUUAACAAGAAUCACAUUUUAAUUUCUAGUUUAUUUUAAUUAAAUAUUUACCUAAACUUAUCUUGUUCACUAUUUGGCUUUGCUUCUUUAUUUUAUGUGUUUUUUAUACUAACUGCUAUAAUUUAUUAUUCAUUAUUACAUUGAGCGUAUUUUCACUUGUAUUUACUCGAACAAGCAAGAACGGUUGUUCGACUGCUAUGAAAUGAAUAACGAGUUCAGUUUGGAAGUAUUUAAACCGUUUAAUUACUCCCGAACCCCUUAAAAGGACUUAUGUUCUUUUUAUUUAUUUAUUUGACUGGCUUUUUAUUUUAUUUAUGAAACGUUGACGGAGUCGAUUAGGUCGGCGCAUAAUGAAGCACUUUAUUGGUUUAUUUACUUUUUCUUGUUGAUAACAGGCUUUUAUGGGAGGUAAAAUACUCUAAUCGACUCGAUUUAUGCAAUUAGAGGUUUUCCGAAGUGUCUUUUAUGGUGAAUUCUGGACGGUUUCUAGUUCUUGUGGGUAGAUGACUUGAAAUUGGUUAAAUUAUUCUCUAUGCUGGUGUUUCAAGGAAUUUAAAUUCGCUUUGAACUGACCAAUUUAGAUAAUAGAAAAGGCCAAGUUAGGUGCAGAUUGGCUAGGGGAAUAAUUUACGAUUAUUUACUAACAGGUGUAAUAACGCAAUUUAAACAAUAUAUAAAAAAGCAAAUAGUAAAUGUUACAUAAAUGCAGGAGAUUUGAUUAUUGUUGGAGGAAGUGGCUUGAUGUGUAUUUUUUCGGGAAAUAGGUUUAGUACUCUGUACUUUAAGUGUUUUAAUAGUUUAAAUCAAUAAAUAUAUUUACGAUUAAA